rnacentral:lncRNA from 1 species
AGGACAUCAGCACAUAGAACCAGUGAAAGGGUCCUCCCUCAUAGUGACGCAUGUCAUAGACUCAGAUUUAUACAAACAAAUGCUGAGCAAACCAUGAAGAGUCUCUGGUAUUUUCAACAAUAUCAUCACAGAGGAACUGUAUUGAUUUCCUUGCACGUUCAGGGUACUGGGAGAGGCAACAGGGAUGGAGGUCCCAUGUCAGGGGACUUCACAGUGUGACGGGAAUGUUCAACCUGCACCUGUUCCUUGCACCAUACUCCAUCCAGCUCUCCGCUCUUCCAGUCAUUUAUGCUCCUGUCUUCCGUGGAGGAAGUCUGGUAGUAUCUCCCCGGGACACUGGCUCAAAUUUCCAGCCACCUGCCCAAGACAGAUGGGACCAGGGGCCAGAUGAUGUGGACAAUGAUGAUGUCACAAAGAGAAAUGGGGUUUGCAGGAGCAAUGGCUGUAGGGACACUAAGAUUUCACCCUCCAGAAGACAGCAUCUUCCUGUGCCAUGGCUAGAUCACCAGCUACCCACAGACAGCCUGAACUCCAAUUGUCUUCCUGCACAUGUGCCUUUAAAGGAACUUUUCAAAUGUAGAGGAGCCUUUAGAAGGAAGCCUUGAGCAUGAGGACAGACCCCCCUCAUCCAACCACCACCUGACUCUGUGUGAACCUGGAACUGUUAGAAUGUCUGUGCUGUGAUAAAAGGUCAUCUCCCUACAAUGUUAUGAUACAGACCUCAAACCUACAAACAUGAGGAACUUCUGCCUCCAGGUUAACUGCUUACCCACUGUACAAGACACGUUACACACAGUCCAGGAGGCGGAGCUUCUGAGAUAUCUAGAAACAGCUUAGAGGCAAAAUGACAAAAUAAAGCAGCAACAACAAAUAAAACC